UUGUUUACAUAUCUGCCAGGUGCCCCGGGAAACCCCGGUGGUGAAAAGGGAAUACGGUGUAAAUCCGUAACGUUGGGCCAGCGCUGUAAGCGGGGACGACGACUGCGAAAAAGCCACUGUUCAGGUUUUUGAACGGGAAGGUGCAGUCCGAGGAUGAUCCGCAAGUCAGAAGACCUGCCUGGGAGAAAAAGACUUU
rnacentral:ncRNA from 2 species